rnacentral:lncRNA from 1 species
AAGAUAUCAUGUUCCGGUACAUACCAAAAGCAUAAACAGUACAUUAUAAGUCUUACAACAGUUAUUUACAACUACUGACCUAUAAUCCAAAAAUCCCUCAUCAUCAUCCAAAUUAUGCUCUGGGUCCACUACCUGUAAAACAGAAAGCUGAGUGGGUCAGGCUUGGGAGCAUGGUGAGCAUAUAGGGUUUUCAACCCACAAAUAAUAAUAAAUUUAUUAAUUUCAUCGACCAACAAUAAAUUUAUUAAUUUCAUCAACCAACGAUAACCCUGAUUACCCAUUCCCGUUAUUCUCACUUUACGGCCCUAAACACCUAUACAAGGGACCUAGUCUAAGGAUUUUAUCAUCGGGAUGGACUUUACUGUCUCACUUUACGGCCCUAAACACCUAUACAAGGGACCUAGUCUAAGGAUUUUAUCAUCGGGAUGGACUUUACUGGUAAGGGGAUUCCUUAGCCAUAUGUCUGUAAGGCAACCAUGAGGGGAUGGAGUACAUCGGUGAACAUCAAGUCCACAACACCUACAAGUUGCGAGCAUGCUAGUGCUCCACAAGACUGCCUAGAAAAGUAUGUGGUCGUCAUCCAUACUCCGCUAAAUGACUGGAACAACAACAACAUCGAGGCCUCUCAUCAUUUUAACACACAUCUACUAUUUCAUCUACCUA